rnacentral:rRNA from 1 species
ACCAGCGGAGGGAUCAUUACCG